AAUGACUCUGUGUGAAGUUAUACAACAAUGCCAACAACGGGUUUUAAGAGCCCAUCACGAGGAGACUUGAGAGUGAGCAAGCCACAUGACUGUACUUUAACAGCUGUUUACAAUGACGCAGGUCACAGAAACAAAAUUGAUGAGAAGAUAUGAAUGAAAAAAAAAAAUGAAAAUAUUUAAACAACUAGCUUCAAAAUCACCAAGUUCAGUACGAAUUAUCACUUGACUGUUGGAAGAACACAAAUCUUAGAGCAGACCUAUAGCACACAGCAGGCUCAGCUGCCAGAUUUUAUGUACACACAAGCCAAAAGAAAACAUUCCUUCACAGCUGAAGCAGAAGCCACUCUGUCAAUAAGGAAAGGAUUGGGACACUACAACCCUAAAGUGAAACAACUCUACACCAUUUGAAGUCUAAGUUUAAACAAGAAAAGAAAAUAAAGAAUAACACUUUCAGCCACA